GGCAACUGUCCAACAGCAGCCCAGGUCAAAGCAUAGAUGUGGUGCAAAACCCACCUGCAGGUGGAAACACAAGGUUAUCUGAGGGAAGCAACUUCAUGGGCUUUGCCAUGCCUGCCCCAGCACAGGAGGGCAGUGCUGAGCUAAGGGCUCUCCCCCACUGCCCCUGCAGGAUCCAGACACCCAGCAGCUUGCUAGAUAAGCAGGCAGAUAAGCAACUGGAUCCUGCCAUUGUUUCCCUUAGCGGAGGAAGAGGAAGACGGACAGCCCACAGCCCCUCUGCCUGCCAACAGUGCUGCCUUCUUCAACAUUCAGCCCAAAGCAAGCAGUCUAGAUUUGCUCUGGCUGGGAGAAAAAAUAAACACAGAAACUGUGAACCGAUAUGUUAGGUUGCUAAGGAAAGAGCUGCUUACAGCUUGGGGAGCUGAAAGGACACUCAC
rnacentral:lncRNA from 1 species